rnacentral:misc_RNA from 1 species
GCCGCGAAUGUUUAAAAAUAUCAUGAGAAUGGCAUGAAACUAUCUUUCUCUAGAUCAACAUUUGCAGGAGCCAAAGUGACCCAUUGAUAGAACAACGAAGAAGUCCCACUAAACUUUGGCUGUGUUUCAGUGACUUCAUUGGCAAGUCAAGGACAUCUAUGGGAACUAUAAUAAUGACACCAAAUUCUCAGGAAAAGGAAACCAUAAUAAUCCUCAAUUGUGAGUAUACUAUUCCAGGACAAGAGGGACCCACUUCCAAGAAUCCAGCAUAAUAACAUAGCACCACGUUUUCCCUCAAGCUUAGCAGGAGAUAUG